CAGGAUGAACGCUAGCGACAGGCUUAACACAUGCAAGUCGAGGGGUAACAGGGUAGCAAUACCGCUGACGACCGGCGCACGGGUGAGUAACGCGUAUGCAACCUGCCUAUAACUGGGGAAUAGCUCCCUGAAAGGGGGAAUUAACACCGCAUAACACUAUUGAUUCGCGAUGGAUUAGUAGUUAAAUGUAGCGAUACAGGUUAUAGAUGGGCAUGCGUGACAUUAGCUAGUUGGUGAGGUAACGGCUCACCAAGGCUACGAUGUCUAGGGGUUCUGAGAGGAAGGUCCCCCACACUGGUACUGAGACACGGACCAGACUCCUACGGGAGGCAGCAGUGAGGAAUAUUGGUCAAUGGGCGCAAGCCUGAACCAGCCAUGUCGCGUGCAGGAAGACUGCCCUAUGGGUUGUAAACUGCUUUUAUAGUAGAAGAAACACAUCUACGCGUAGAUGUCUGCCAGUAUACUAUGAAUAAGCAUCGGCUAACUCCGUGCCAGCAGCCGC
rnacentral:rRNA from 1 species